CUCAACUUGUGCAGCGGGUAGCUCCCUGGUUGCUUCCCUGUUAUGUCUCACCUCCAAGAGACCAGAGAGCACUCAGACAGGAGAGCCAGUGGGAAGCUCCCUGAAGGGUAGAAACCCUCCUGAGAAAGAGAAAUGGUGGCAAAUACUGUUGUUCCCAGCUGAGUCAACCUUAAAUUAACUCUGUAAGGACUGUCCAGGAUGAGGACCAACACAAGCUGUCUGCACGGAGAUUUUGUUGCUGCUGGGAAUUUGGAGUGAACACUGCAGUGCUAUUAUUUGGAUCCAAUUACAUAAUUUCAAUUGAAAUAUAUUUCAGUUGAGUUAUUAUUUCAAGCUGGAGGAGGUGCUUCAGUACAUGCCAUCUCUACUCCUUGACUCUGCAUUUUAGCAUUAUGCCCAACUUCAGUACGCUCUUCUGACAAAC